CGCUUCCCCAGCAGGCCCUGGUGCUUCCGCGGGCCCGGGGGCGGGCUAGCAGCUGUGCGUGUGGGGUGGUCGUCACCUACGUCCCUUAGGGAGUGGGCUUUCGAGCCCAAAGUUCCCCAGAUCAAACUGUUAUGUAUUCGCGCUUGGAGUUCUUGCUGUGGUGUGCAGCCGAAAUGGAGCGGCGGUGUUGUGCCCGCUUUCUUAAGCAAUUACUUUGUCGGUAGCUGAGUUUCAGUAAGUGAGGAGGACACUAAAAAUGAUGAUUAGGAGAAACUACAAGCUCAGUUGUUCAACAGCACAUUGACAGCUAUGCUGGAUUUCAGAAAUAAAUGCUAAUUGUGAUAAUGAUGAUGAUGACGUGUAUUCCUUCUGCUGAGAAAAGUUUGGUUGAUAAGGCAUUUCUCAUCCCAGCCUGUAAAGAAUCUGUGAAGCAGGGCCAUUGGACAUCUUAACAAGUGCCAUGGAGGCCCAUCACAUCCUCUGCGGUGUCUGAAGUUUGCAGACUUGUUCCCUCCGCAGCAAACAG
rnacentral:lncRNA from 1 species